rnacentral:rRNA from 1 species
AUUGAACGCUGGCGGCAGGCCUAACACAUGCCAGUCGAGCGGAUGAAGGGAGCUUGCUCCUGGAUUCAGCGGCGGACGGGUGAGUAAUGCCUAGGAAUCUGCCUGGUAGUGGGGGAUAACGUCCGGAAACGGGCGCUAAUACCGCAUACGUCCUGAGGGAGAAAGUGGGGGAUCUUCGGACCUCGCGCUAUCAGAUGAGCCUAGGUCGGAUUAGCUAGUUGGUGGGGUAAAGGCCUACCAAGGCGACGAUCCGUAACUGGUCUGAGAGGAUGAUCAGUCGCACUGGAACUGAGACACGGUCCAGACUCCUACGGGAGGCAGCAGUGGGGAAUAUUGGACAAUGGGCGAAAGCCUGAUCCAGCCAUGCCGCGUGUGUGAAGAAGGUCUUCGGAUUGUAAAGCACUUUAAGUUGGGAGGAAGGGCAGUAAGUUAAUACCUUGCUGUUUUGACGUUACCAACAGAAUAAGCACCGGCUAACUUCGUG